rnacentral:rRNA from 1 species
GAUGAACGCUAGCGGCAGGCUUAAUACAUGCAAGUCGUGGGGCAGCAGGUUUGUAGCAAUACAGAUGCUGGCGACCGGCAAACGGGUGCGGAACACGUACAGAACCUUCCUUGAGCGGGGAAUAGCCCAGAGAAAUUUGGAUUAAUACCCCAUAGUAUAAUGAAGUGGCAUCACUUUAUUAUUAAAGAUUUAUCACUCGAAGAUGGCUGUGCGGCUGAUUAGGUAGUUGGCGGGGUAAAGGCCCACCAAGCCUGCGAUCAGUAACUGGUGUGAGAGCACGACCAGUCACACGGGCACUGAGACACGGGCCCGACUCCUACGGGAGGCAGCAGUAAGGAAUAUUGGUCAAUGGAGGCAACUCUGAACCAGCCAUGCCGCGUGGAGGAUGAAGGUCCUCUGGAUUGUAAACUUCUUUUAUAUGGGACGAAAAAAAGGCUUUUCUAAGUCGUCUGACGGUACCAUAUGAAUAAGCACCGGCUAAACUCCGUGCCAGCAGCCGCGGU